UGGGGAAUAUUGCACAAUGGGCGCAAGCCUGAUGCAGCGACGCCGCGUGAGGGAUGACGGCCUUCGGGUUGUAAACCUCUUUCGACAGGGACGAAGGGUGACUGACGGUACCUGUAGAAGAAGCACCGGCCAACUACGUGCCAGCAGCCGCGGUAAUACGUAGGGUGCGAGCGUUGUCCGGAAUUACUGGGCGUAAAGAGCUUGUAGGCGGUUCGUCGCGUCGUUCGUGAAAACAUGCCGCUCAACGGCAUGCUUGCGGUCGAUACGGGCGGACUAGAGUAUUGCAGGGGAGACUGGAAUUCCUGGUGUAGCGGUGAAAUGCGCAGAUAUCAGGAGGAACACCGGUGGCGAAGGCGGGUCUCUGGGCAGUAACUGACGCUGAGAAGCGAAAGCGUGGGUAGCGAACAGGAUUAGAUACCCUGGUAGUCCACGCCGUAAACGGUGGGUACUAGGUGUGGGUUUCCUUCCACGGGAUCCGUGCCGUAGCUAACGCAUUAAGUACCCCGCCUGGGGAGUACGGCCGCAAGGCUAA
rnacentral:rRNA from 1 species